AGAGUUUGAUCCUGGCUCAGGAUGAACGCUAGCGGCAGGCUUAACACAUGCAAGUCGAGGGGUAACAGGGAUUAGUUUACUAGUCUGCUGACGACCGGCGCACGGGUGAGUAACGCGUAUACAAUUUACCUUUUACAGGAGGAUAGCCCAGAGAAAUUUGGAUUAAUACUCCAUGGUAUUAUCGGAUCGCAUGGUUUGAUAAUUAAAGUUUCGGUGGUAACAGAUGGGUAUGCGUCCUAUUAGCUGGUUGGUAAGGUAACGGCUUACCAAGGCGACGAUAGGUAGGGGUCCUGAGAGGGAGAUCCCCCACACUGGUACUGAGACACGGACCAGACUCCUACGGGAGGCAGCAGUGAGGAAUAUUGGUCAAUGGAGGCAACUCUGAACCAGCCAUGCCGCGUGCAGGAAGACUGCCCUAUGGGUUGUAAACUGCUUUUAUACAGGAAGAAACUUAUCCACGUGUGGAUAACUGACGGUACUGUACGAAUAAGGACCGGCUAACUCCGUGCCAGCAGCCGCGGUAAUACGGAGGGUCCAAGCGUUAUCCGGAAUCAUUGGGUUUAAAGGGUCCGUAGGCGGGCGAUUAAGUCAGAGGUGAAAUCCCACAGCUCAACUGUGGAACUGCCUUUGAUACUGGUUGUCUUGAGUUACAGUGAAGUAGAUAGAAUAUGUAGUGUAGCGGUGAAAUGCAUAGAUAUUACAUAGAAUACCGAUUGCGAAGGCAGUCUACUAACUGUUAACUGACGCUAAGGGACGAAAGCGUGGGGAGCGAACAGGAUUAGAUACCCUGGUAGUCCACGCCGUAAACGAUGGUCACUAGUUGUUGGGGCGUUUGCCUCAGUGAUUAAGCGAAAGUGAUAAGG
rnacentral:rRNA from 1 species